CGAACGCUGGCGGCGUGCCUAAUACAUGCAAGUCGAACGGUCUUUCUAUGGAAGCUUGCUUCCACUGAGAAGAUAGUGGCGAACGGGUGAGUAACACGUGGGUAACCUGCCCAUAAGAGGGGGAUAACAUCCGGAAACGGGUGCUAAUACCGCAUAGUUUUCUUGAUCGCAUGAUCGGGAAAGGAAAGACGGCCUUUGUGCUGUCGCUUAUGGAUGGACCCGCGGCGUAUUAGUUAGUUGGUGAGGUAACGGCUCACCAAGACGAUGAUACGUAGCCGACCUGAGAGGGUGAUCGGCCACAUUGGGACUGAGACACGGCCCAAACUCCUACGGGAGGCAGCAGUAGGGAAUCUUCCGCAAUGGACGAAAGUCUGACGGAGCAACGCCGCGUGAGUGAAAGAAGGUUUUCGGAUCGUAAAACUCUGUUGUCAGAGAAGAACAAGUUGGAGAGUAACUGCUCCAGCCUUGACGGUAUCUGACCAGAAAGCCACGGCUAACUACGUGCCAGCCGCCGC
rnacentral:rRNA from 1 species